rnacentral:rRNA from 1 species
CUCGCCUACAUGAAGUCGGAGUUGCUAGUAAUCGCGGAUCAGAAUGCCGCGGUGAAUGCGUUCCCGGGUCUUGUACACACCGCCCGUCACACCAUGGAAGUUGGGGGCGCCCGAAGUUGGUCGAGGAAUAGAUUACCUAAGGCGAAACCAAUGACUGGGUGAAGUCGUAACAAGGUAUC